rnacentral:rRNA from 1 species
ACCCCUCGAGAGUGGCGAACGGGUGAGUAAUAUAUCGGAACGUGCCCAGUCGUGGGGGAUAACGUAGCGAAAGUUACGCUAAUACCGCAUACGAUCUACGGAUGAAAGCGGGGGACUCGCAAGAGCCUCGCGCGAUUGGAGCGGCCGAUAUCAGAUUAGGUAGUUGGUGGGGUAAAGGCUCACCAAGCCAACGAUCUGUAGCUGGUCUGAGAGGACGACCAGCCACACUGGAACUGAGACACGGUCCAGACUCCUACGGGAGGCAGCAGUGGGGAAUUUUGGACAAUGGACGCAAGUCUGAUCCAGCCAUUCCGCGUGCAGGAUGAAGGCCCUCGGGUUGUAAACUGCUUUUGUACGGAACGAAAAGGUCUCUAUUAAUACUGGGGGCUCAUGACGGUACCGUAAGAAUAAGCACCGGCUAACUACGUGCCAGCAGCCGCGGUAAUACGUAGGGUGCAAGCGUUAAUCGGAAUUACUGGGCGUAAAGCGUGCGCAGGCGGUUAUGUAAGACAGAGGUGAAAUCCCCGGGCUCAACCUGGGAACUGCUUUUGUGACUGUAUAGCUAGAGUACGGUAGAGGGGGAUGGAAUUCCGCGUGUAGCAGUGAAAUGCGUAGAUAUGCGGAGGAACACCGAUGGCGAAGGCAAUCCCCUGGACCUGUACUGACGCUCAUGCACGAAAGCGUGGGGAGCAAACAGGAU